rnacentral:rRNA from 1 species
UACAUAGGGUGCGAGCGUUAAUCGGAUUUACUGGGCGUAAAGCGUGCGUAGGCGGCUUUUUAAGUCGGAUGUGAAAUCCCCGAGCUCAACUUGGGAAUUGCAUUCGAUACUGGGAAGCUAGAGUAUGGGAGAGGAUGGUAGAAUUCCAGGUGUAGCGGUGAAAUGCGUAGAGAUCUGGAGGAAUACCGAUGGCGAAGGCAGCCAUCUGGCCUAAUACUGACGCUGAGGUACGAAAGCAUGGGGAGCAAACAGG